AGAGAACCUUGGAUAACUGAUUGGUAUUUUAGUGUGUUUCUAAUUUUGCAUGACAGACUUUAUGAGAAGUCAAUGUCCUUUGAAGAAAAAGGACAAUAUUACAGUCAACAAGCUCCUUUGAUUGGUAACCCGUUGGCUGCUAUCCUUGAAUAUCCCUUUUUACUUCCUUAAACAGGCCCUCUUGAUUUGAGGGUAACUCCUUCGCUACUUAUCAUGGACUUCAUCCAUUGGUAAAAACUGAUAAGAAAAAGCUGAAAUUCAAGACUGAUGGUUGUCAGAUGUCUAAGCCGGAAGUCUACUAGGGAACGCUCUCGUAAUAACUGUUCUCUCCGUCUUUAUUGACUGUAUGUGCGAGUUUCAAAAGCAGUUUAUCACCCAAAUGAGACAAGGAGUUUGUUUUAU